UGGGGAAUAUUGGACAAUGGGCGCAAGCCUGAUCCAGCCAUGCCGCGUGAGUGAUGAAGGCCCUAGGGUUGUAAAGCUCUUUCACCGGUGAAGAUAAUGACGGUAACCGGAGAAGAAGCCCCGGCUAACUUCGUGCCAGCAGCCGCGGUAAUACGAAGGGGGCUAGCGUUGUUCGGAUUUACUGGGCGUAAAGCGCACGUAGGCGGACUUUUAAGUCAGGGGUGAAAUCCCGGGGCUCAACCCCGGAACUGCCUUUGAUACUGGAAGUCUUGAGUAUGGUAGAGGUGAGUGGAAUUCCGAGUGUAGAGGUGAAAUUCGUAGAUACUCGGAGGAACACCAGUGGCGAAGGCGGCUCACUGGACCAUUACUGACGCUGAGGUGCGAAAGCGUGGGGAGCAAACAGG
rnacentral:rRNA from 1 species